rnacentral:rRNA from 1 species
UACGAAGGGGGCUAGCGUUACUCGGAUUGACUGGGCGUAAAGGGCGCGUAGGCGGAUGGUAAAGUCAGACGUGAAAUUCCUGGGCUCAACCUGGGGGCUGCGUUUGAUACGUGCUGUCUGGAGUUCGGGAGAGGGUCGUGGAAUUCCCAGUGUAGAGGUGAAAUUCGUAGAUAUUGGGAAGAACACCGGUGGCGAAGGCGGCGACCUGGUCCGAUACUGACGCUGAGGCGCGAAAGCGUGGGGAGCAAACAGG